rnacentral:lncRNA from 1 species
UUAUUUUUUGAUGGUUUAUUAUUUAUAUGUUUCUCUAGUAUAUAUUGUUGAGUGUAAUAUUUAUAUGAGGGUUCUAUAUUUAUUAGGAUAUUUUUUUUAUUUUUAGUGAUGACGAAUGGCGGCAGACUUCCUCAGCCACAUUAACUAGGUUUCCUCCCUAGCGAUCUUCUAUUCGCGCCAUUAUCAUGUGGGUCGUCCCAUGUUCCUCGGACCCAUCAGUAGUAUGUAAUAUUUUAUGUUUUGCGUGCUAAUAAAGUUUUUGAAUAUAUACAUUCAUUCAGGGUGUGGGACAUCUUCGAGAACAUGACAAGUGAGGUCGAGAAUGAUGAAGGAGACGAGAUAUGGACGUGAAAUCUCUCCUUCGAGAUACCCAUUAGGAACAAUACUGAGGUGCGUCGAGGCGUCAUGAUUCUUGGAGCAUAAUCGUUGACCAAGGUAGGCGUUCAGAUGGAUGUCAUGCUCCUUUCUUUGCAAGUAAUUGAUCGAAUUCGCUACCAUAUGCCUGAUUAGUUAUGGAUGAAGAUGCGAGCUUUAAUGCAGCGUAGUCUGGACGUGCCGCUAGUAAACGAGAGGUACAUUCAACAAUAGGGAUGUGGUACGUCAUAUAUAAUAUGAAAGUAAUGUUUAUUUAUUCAUAUUAUUAUAUGAGCACAUUCUGAUAUUUUUUGUUUGAUCGCUUGUAGGUUCUGCCCUAUGAUUACACAUAUGCUACGUGUGGCUUACGUGCUAUUAUCACACAAGCUAUACAACGACUCAAGUAUGCUUGGGACUCUGUGGAAGAGAUGGGCAAGAUGACGACAAUUGGCAUCCAGAAUUAUGUGAGAUUUAGGCAAAAUCAGACCAUCAAUAGUGUGUCUAUAGGUUACAUCUAUGGGAUGCCAUGUCCUCAACGUUGUGAGGCAGUGGAGAGUGCUGUAGUGCGGG